rnacentral:lncRNA from 1 species
AUGCACCUGUGCAUCUAGCAUUGUGUAGACCUCAUACAAUAACUGUCUUAGCUCUACCCUAUCUUUUGUUUCAUUUCUUCUGGAACAAUCACAAACACUUUUUUGAUUAUGGAGCUACUACCAGAAAUUCAAUGCGUAAUUUUAGCAUUCAAUUUGUAUUCCUGAAUAAUCUCAUUUUUCAAUUAUUCAACCAUUUCAUUUUACCAAGUUCAAUGUUAGUCAGAUUAGUCAACAUUUAUAUGUUUCGAUGCAAUAACAAGAUGUUAUUUGUAACAAGUAGUUUUAUUGGUUGGUUAAUUGGUCACAUUUUAUUCAUGAAAUGCGUUGGAUUGAUAUUAGUCUGGAUACAACAAAAUAAUUGUAUUAGAUCUAAUGUACUUUUUCGAUCUAAUAAGUACCUUGUGUCAGAAUUGAGAAAUUCUAUGGCUCGAAUCUUUAGUAUUCUCUUAUUUAUUACCUGCGUCUACUCUUUAGGCAGAAUACCGUCACCCAUUUUUACUAAGAAAAUGAAAGAAACCUCAGAAACGGAAGAAAGGGAGGAAAGUGAGGAAGAAACAGAUGUAGAAAUAGAAACAACUUCCGAAACAAAGGGGACUAAACAGGGAUCCACCGAAGAAAAUCCUUCUUCUUCCCUUUUUUCGGAAGAAAAGGAGGAUCGGGACAAAAUCGACGAAACAGAAGAGAUCCAAGUGAAUGGAAAGGAGAAAACAAAGGAUGAAUUCCAUUUUCACUUUAACGAGACAUGCUAUAAAAAUAGACCACUUUGUGAAACUUUUUAUCUGGAUGGGAAUCAAGAAAAUUCAAAGUUAGAAAUAUUGAUAGAAAGAAAAAAGAAAAAUCUUUUCUUUUUGAAAAACCUCUUGUAACUAUUCUUUUUUACUCGAAACGUUGGAAUCGUCCAUUACGAUAUAUAAAAAAUGAUCAGUUUGAGAAUGCUGGAAUGCUAUAUAAAUGUUAAAUGUAAAUAAUAAAUUCAAUUUAUUUAAAUAAUAUAAAUAAUAAAUUAAUUUAAAUAAUAAAUAUACGUAUAAUAAAUAUAUAUAUGUAUAAUAAAUAUACGUAAAUAAUAAAUAUUUUAUUUAAUUUUUAUUAUUUAUUAAAUAUUAAUAUUAAAUUCAAAAUUAUAUUAAAUAAUUAAAAUUAGAAUUAUAUUCUAUAUUAAAUAAUUCUAAAAAAAUAAUUAUAUAAUUGAAUAUUUUAUAAUUAUAAUAUAUUUAAUUAUAAUAUAAUUGAAUAUUUUUAUUUAUUUUUUAUUUUAUUUUAAUAUAAUUCAAUAUUCCAAUUUUAAUAUAAUUCAAUAUUAUAAUUAUAAUAUUCUAUUCAAUUAAAUAUUAUAAUAAAAUUAAAUAAAAAAAUUCAAUAUUAAAAUUAAUAAAAUUUAAAAUAAAGUUUUACAAUUUGUAAAUAAAAUUGAAUCUUUUUUUACAAAUUGUAAAAAGAAUAAAUUAAUAAAAAGAUUAAUGCAUAAAAUAAAUAUAAUAAGAGAUAAGAAGAGAUACGACCGCUUCCUACAUAUUUUAUACCCUCUCCUACAAAGAAACUGGUAACACCAACUCCGUUGGUAAUUCCAUCAAUUAUUCGUUUAUCAAAAAAAUGAAUUAAUUCAGCUAAUUUUCUUAUACCUCCAAUAAACGAUGUUUCAUAAAAAGCAUCUAUGUAACCUCGAUUAUAGGACCAGUUAUAUAUGACGUUUAUUAUUUUGUCCCAAAGAAUUCUCUUAGAACCUUUUUUAGCGAGCGAAUUAAAGAAAUUCAAAUUUUGUAAUAAUGAAUAAACAGGCUUAUAUAAAGAGGACGCUAUAAAUAUUCCAAAAAAAGCUAUACUGACUGAAAAAAUUGCAUUUGUUACAAAUUCAUACCAAUCCACAGAAUUUUUUGAAUUUUGGUGCAAAAGGUUUAAAGACGGAGUUAACAGUUUUGACAAUGUAUCCACCUCCAUUCCUUUUUUAUUGAAAGGAAUUUGAUUGAAAGGAAUUCCUAUGGCUCUAAUAAACAAAGCAAAUAGUACCAAGACAAGCAUAGGAAAUAACAUAGUAUUAUCCGAUUCAUGAGGAUAGGCAAAAAUCCUUUUAGUGUUAAAAUUUUUAAUAGUAAUAAAAGGCCACAUCAUCUUUCUUACAUUACCAUCAAUUUGAUAUGUGUUCUUCCAAAAAAAAGAAGCCCUUUCAUUAUUAUUUGUUGUUAAGAAAGGUAAUAAACCCAAACUUUCGUUAAGCAUUUUUUAUCCUUCUUUACCCCAUAAAGAUAUUGAAUAAAAUGAACUGUUUUUUUUACAACUGUAAUUUUUUAAAUGAACAUUUAAAUGUCCUUCAAAAGUAAGUAAAUAAAUCCGAAACAUAUAAAAUGCAGUUAAUCCGGCCGUGAAACAAGCUAUUAUUGCGAAAACCGGUGAAUACAACCAACUAUCGUUAAGAAUUUCAUCUUUGGACCAAAAACAGGCGAAGGGUGGAAUACCACAAAGAGAAAGUGUAAAAAAAAGCAGUUUUUAUAAUUGGAAUAUG